rnacentral:sRNA from 2 species
AUAUCUCUCUGUACGGGAAGGAUGAGAAGCUUCGACCAAGGUUCGAUUCGAGCGCAGCGAGAAAGCGUUGCCGCAGGCAACGACCCGAAGGGCGAAGCGCGCAGCGCUGAGUCAUCCGUCCCCCACCACCA